UUGCGGGCGGGGCGCGUGGGCCCGGCUCCCUCUGCCGGCCUGCGCGCCGGCCUCCCGAGCGCCCACGCUGGGUGCCCCGGACCGGCCGGGGGUGAGCGGGCGCCGGGCGCCGGGCCGUGGGCCCGCGCCUCCCUCCCGGCCACGGGCGGACCCUGUUCGUCUUGAGUGGCGGCCGAGCGCACGGCUCUGCGGGCCGCGUCUCCCCGGCCUGUCCUCCGCGGCAGGCGGCCCCGAGGGCGGAGGCGGUCCACCUCUUCUGGGCCUCAGUGCCGCAGCCGGAAGGCGGGCAGUGAUCGUGAUCGUGCCUCCCGGGGCGGGCUGCACGUGAGGUCACAUGAGUUAGCAACAGGUAAAGAACUCAUUCAACCGUGUAAUAAAACUGCAAACAACAGAAGCUUCCCAGAAGGAGAUACACAGAUGGCAAAUAAGUACAAGAAGGAUGCUCGACCAUCAUCUUCAUGAGGGAAACACAAAGCCACAGUGAGACACGGCCACACCAUUGUCCGUCCACUCGAGUGGCCAAAGAAGGCUGACGUCGGCAAGCACCAAGGUUGCAGAGCUGCUGAAAUUCUCAUCCGUUGCAGACAAGAGGGCAAAAUGGUACAACCAAUUUGGAAGCAUUUUGGUGGUUUCUUCUAAAGUUGCCAUACACUUACCCUUCAACCCAGUACUCCCACUCCUAGGUACUUACCCAACAGGGACGAAAACGUGUCCGUACCAGACUUGUACUAAGUUCUCACAUUUUUAAUUGGAUCUCCAGUUAUCACGAUACGAAGGUUGUAGUUGGUCACGCUGAUUCAAGCACUUGUUGCCAUUCAUUUUAUUGUGACUCCUGAGGACAUGUUGAUAAUUUUCUAUUGGUUUCACUCAUAUCUCAUGCAGUUAUAAAAACAGUCUAUAUACUGGA